rnacentral:rRNA from 1 species
CUAAAAGGUAACGGAGGCGCUCAAAGGUUCCCUCAGAAUGGUUGGAAAUCAUUCAUAGAGUGUAAAGGCAUAAGGGAGCUUGACUGCGAGACCUACAAGUCGAGCAGGGUCGAAAGACGGACUUAGUGAUCCGGUGGUUCCGCAUGGAAGGGCCAUCGCUCAACGGAUAAAAGCUACCCCGGGGAUAACAGGCUUAUCUCCCCCAAGAGUUCACAUCGACGGGGAGGUUUGGCACCUCGAUGUCGGCUCAUCGCAUCCUGGGGCUGUAGUCGGUCCCAAGGGUUGGGCUGUUCGCCCAUUAAAGCGGUACGCGAGCUGGGUUCAGAACGUCGUGAGACAGUUCGGUCCCUAUCCGUCGUGGGCGUAGGAAAUUUGAGAGGAGCUGUCCUUAGUACGAGAGGACCGGGAUGGACAUACCUCUGGUGUACCAGUUGUCGUGCCAACGGCAUAGCUGGGUAGCUAUGUGUGGACGGGAUAAGUGCUGAAAGCAUCUAAGCAUGAAGCCCCCCUCAAGAUGAGAUUUCCCAACUUCGGUUAUAAGAUCCCUCAAAGAUGAUGAGGUUAAUAGGUUCGAGGUGGAAGCAUGGUGACAUGUGGAGCUGACGAAUACUAAUCGAUCGAAGACUUAAUCAA